rnacentral:rRNA from 2 species
CUAACAAGGUUUCCGUAGGUGAACCUGCGGAAGGAUCAUUG